UACGUAGGGUGCGAGCGUUGUCCGGAAUUAUUGGGCGUAAAGAGCUUGUAGGCGGUCUGUCGCGUCUGCUGUGAAAAUCCGGGGCUCAACCCCGGACUUGCAGUGGGUACGGGCAGACUAGAGUGUGGUAGGGGAGUCUGGAAUUCCUGGUGUAGCGGUGAAAUGCGCAGAUAUCAGGAAGAACACCCGUGGCGAAGGCGGCUCUCUGGGACGGUACUGACGCUGAGACGCGAAAGCGUGGGGAGCGAACAGG
rnacentral:rRNA from 1 species